rnacentral:rRNA from 1 species
CGGCGCGCUUAACACAUGCAAGUCGAACGAGAAAGGGGAGCAAUCCCUGAGUACAGUGGCGUACGGGUGAGUAACACGUGGAUGAUCUAUCUCUUAGUGGGGAAUAACCCUGGGAAACCGGGGAUAAUACCGCAUAAGCUCGAGAGAGGAAAGCAGCAAUGCGCUGAGAGAGGAGUCCGCGGCCGAUUAGCUAGUUGGCAGGGUAAAAGCCUACCAAGGCAGAGAUCGGUAGCCGGCCUGAGAGGGCACACGGCCACACUGGCACUGAAACACGGGCCAGACUCCUACGGGAGGCAGCAGUGGGGAAUCUUGCACAAUGGGGGAAACCCUGAUGCAGCGACGCCGCGUGAGCGAUGAAGCCCUUCGGGGUGUAAAGCUCUUUCGGCAGGGAAGAUGAUGACGGUACCUGCAGAAGCAGCUGCGGCUAACUACGUGCCAGCAGCCGCGGUAAUACGUAGGCAGCGAGCGUUGUUCGGAGUUACUGGGCGUAAAGGGUGUGUAGGCGGUUGUUUAAGUUUGGUGUGAAAUCUCCCGGCUCAACUGGGAGGGUGCGCCGAAUACUGAAUGACUUCGAGUGCGGGAGAGGAGAGUGGAAUUCCUGGUGUAGCGGUGAAAUGCGUAGAUAUCAGGAGGAACACCGGUGGUGUAGACGGCUCUCUGGACCGUAACUGACGCUGAGACACGAAAGCGUGGGUAGCAAACAGGAUUAGAUACCCUGGUAGUCCACGCCCUAAACGAUGCAUAUUUGGUGUGGGCAGUUCAUUCUGUCCGUGCCGGAGCUAACGCGUUAAAUAUGCCGCCUGGGGAGUACAGUCGCAAGGCUGAAAC